UACAGAGGUCCCAAGCGUUGUUCGGAUUCACUGGGCGUAAAGGGUGCGUAGGCGGUCGGGUAAGUCUGAUGUGAAAUCUCACAGCUUAACUGUGAAACUGCAUUGGAUACUAUUCGGCUUGAGAGUUGGAGGGGGGACUGGAAUUCUUGGUGUAGCAGUGAAAUGCGUAGAUAUCAGGAGGAACACCUGCGGUGUAGACGGCUAUCUGGACGGUUACUGACGCUGAGACACGAAAGCGUGGGUAGCAAACAGG
rnacentral:rRNA from 1 species